rnacentral:rRNA from 1 species
AACUUAGCAGAGAUGCUUUGGUGCCUUCGGGAACUCUGAGACAGGUGCUGCAUGGCUGUCGUCAGCUCGUGUUGUGAAAUGUUGGGUUAAGUCCCGCAACGAGCGCAACCCUUAUCCUUGUUGCCAGCGGUUAGGCCGGGAACUCAAAGGAGACUGCCAGUGAUAAACUGGAGGAAGGUGGGGAUGACGUCAAGUCAUCAUGGCCCUUACAAGUAGGGCUACACACGUGCUACAAUGGCGCAUACAAAGAGAAGCGACCUCGCGAGAGCAAGCGGACCUCAUAAAGUGCGUCGUAGUCCGGAUUGAAGUCUGCAACUCGACUCCAUGAAGUCGGAAUCGCUAGUAAUCGUGGAUCAGAAUGCCACGGUGAAUACGUUCCCGGGCCUUGUACACACCGCCCGUCACACCAUGGGAGUGGGUUGCAAAAGAAGUAGGUAGCUUAACCUUCGGGAGGGCGUUUACCACUUUGUGAUUCAUGACUGGGGUGAAGUCGUAACAAGGUAAGCGUAGUGCU